rnacentral:rRNA from 1 species
CCCUGCCUUUUGUACACACCGCCCGUCGCUCCUACCGAUUUCGAGUGAUCCGGUGAAUCAUUCGGACCGCGUGGGCUUGACCUAACGUGGAAAGUCUAGUAAACCAUAUCACUUAGAGGAAGGAGAAGUCGUAACAAGGUUUCCGUAGGU